AACGAACGCUGGCGGCAUGCCUAACACAUGCAAGUCGAACGAGACCUUCGGGUCUAGUGGCGCACGGGUGCGUAAAGCGUGGGAACCUGCCCUUAGGUUCGGAAUCACUCCCCGAAAGGGGUGCUAAUACCGGAUAAUGUCUUCGGACCAAAGAUUUAGCGCCUUUGGAUGGGCCCGCGUUGGUUUAGCUAGUUGGUAGGGUAAAAGCCUACCAAGGCGAAGAUCCAUAGCUGGUCUGAGAGGAUAAUCAGACACACUGGGACUGAGACACGGCCCAGACUCCUACGGGAGGGAGCAGUGGGGAAUAUUGGACAAGGGGCGAGAGCCUGAUCCAGCAAUGGCGCGUGAGUGAUGAAGGCCUUAGGGUUGUAAAGCUCUUUUACCCGGGAUGAUAAUGACAGUACCGGGAGAAUAAGCUCCGGCUAACUCCGUG
rnacentral:rRNA from 1 species